ensembl:lncRNA
AUGUGUGUGUGUGAUGUGUGUGUGUGUGUAUAUGUGUGUGGUGUUGUGUUCUUUGUGUUAUGUGUGUGUGUGAUGUGUGUGUGUUGUGUUCUGUGUGGUGUUGUGUUCUGUGUGUUCUGUGGUGUUGUGUUCUGUGUGGUGUGUGUGUGGUGUGUGUGUGUGUGUGUGUGUGUGUGUGUGUGUGUGUGUGUGUUCUGUGUGGUGUGUUGUGUGUUGUGUGCGUGGUGUGGUGUUGUGUUCGGUGUGUGUGUGUGUGUGUGUGUGUGUGUGGUGUUGUGUGUUCUGUGUGGUGUUGUGUUCUGUGUGUGUGUGUGUUGUGUGUUCUGUGUUGUGUGUGGUGUUGUGUUUUGUGUGUUGUGUUGUGUGUGUGUUCUGUGUUGUGUGUGGUGUUGUGUUUUGUGUGUUGUGUUGUGUGUGUGUGUGUGUGUGUGUGUGUGUGUGGUGUUGUGUGUGGUGUUGUGUUGUGUUCUGUGUUGUGUGCGUGAUGUGCUGUUGUGUUCUGUGGUGUUGUGUGUGUGUGUGUUCUGUGUGGUGUUGUGUUCUGUGUGUUUUGUUCUGUGUUGUGUGUUAGUGUGUUGUGUGUGGUGUUGUGUUCUGUGUGUGUGUGGUGUUGUGUGUUCUGUGUGGUGUUGUGUUCUGUGUGUUUUGUUCUGUGUUGUGUGUGUGUGUGUUCUGUGUGGUGUUGUGUGUGUGUGUGUGGUGUUGUGUGUUGUGUUGUGUGUUGUGUUGUGUGUGUGUGUGUGUUGUGUUUUGUGUUGUGUGUGUGUUCUGUGUGGUGUUGUGUUCUUGUUGUGUGUGGUGUUGUGUUCUGUGUGGUGUGUUGUGUUGUGUGUGGUGUUGUGUUGUGUUCUGUGUGUGUUCUGUGUGUGUGUGUGUGUGUGUGUGUGUGUGUGUGUGUGGUGGUGUGUUGUGUUUUGUGUGUGUGUGGUGAUGUGUUCUGUGUGUGUGUGUGUGUGUGUGUGUGUAGUGGUGUGUUCUGUGUGUAGUGGUGUGUACUGUGUGUGUGGUGUUGUGUUUUGUGUUGUGUGUGUGUGUUCUGUGGUGUUGUGUGUGUGUGUGUGUGUGUGUGUGUUGUUGUGUCUGUGUGGUGUUCUGUGUGUGUGUGUGUAUAUGUGUGUGUGGUGUUGUAUUCUUUGUUGUGUGUGUGUGUUGUGUUCUGUGGUGUGGUGUUCUGUGUGGUGUUGUGUUCUUUGUGUGUGGUGUUGUGUUGUGUGUGUGGUGUUGUGUUGGUGUGUUGUGUUCUGUGUGUGUGUGUGUGUGUGUGUGUGUGUGUGUGUGUGUGUGUGUAGUGGUGUGUUGUUGUGUUCUGUGUGUGGUGUUGUGUUUUGUGUUGUGUGUGUGUGGUGUGGUGUUCUGUGUGUUGUUUUGUGUUGUGUGUGUGUGGUGUUGUGA